UACGUAGGGUGCGAGCGUUAAUCGGAAUUACUGGGCGUAAAGCGUGCGCAGGCGGUUCGCCGUGUCCGAUGUGAAAGCCCCGGGCUUAACCUGGGAAUGGCAUUGGAAACUGGCGGGCUGGAGUAUGGCAGAGGGGGGUGGAAUUCCACGUGUAGCAGUGAAAUGCGUAGAGAUGUGGAGGAACACCGAUGGCGAAGGCAGCCCCCUGGGCCAAUACUGACGCUCAGGCACGAAAGCGUGGGGAGCGAACAGG
rnacentral:rRNA from 1 species